rnacentral:rRNA from 1 species
AUUGAACGCUGGCGGCAUGCCUAACACAUGCAAGUCGAGCGGCAGCGCGGGGGCAACCCUGGCGGCGAGCGGCGGACGGGUGAGUAAGGCAUCGGAAUCUGCCCUGAUGUGGGGGAUAACGUAGGGAAACUUACGCUAAUACCGCAUACGACCGAGAGGUGAAAGCGGGGGACCGAAAGGCCUCGCGCAGCAGGAUGAGCCGAUGUCCGAUUAGCUAGUUGGUGGGGUAAAGGCCUACCAAGGCGACGAUCGGUAGCUGGUCUGAGAGGAUGAUCAGCCACACUGGGACUGAGACACGGCCCAGACUCCUACGGGAGGCAGCAGUGGGGAAUAUUGGACAAUGGGGGCAACCCUGAUCCAGCAAUGCCGCGUGUGUGAAGAAGGCCUUCGGGUUGUAAAGCACUUUUAUCGGGAACGAAACACCGUGGGUUAAUACCCUGCGGGACUGACGGUACCCGAGGAAUAAGCACCGGCUAACUCCGUG